rnacentral:rRNA from 1 species
AACGCCGAAGAACCUUACCUGGGUUNACAUGCUGGUGGNACGAACCCCGNAAGGGGGACGCCCCUAGGGGUAACUUAAGGAGCCAGCACAGGUGCUGCAUGCUCUNUCNUCAGCUAGGCCCGUGAGGUGUUGGGUUAAGUCCCGCAACGAGCGCAACCCCUAUCCCCUGUUGCCAUCAGGUAAAGGUGGGCACUCUGGGGAAACUUCCGGCGACAAGCCCGGAGGAAGGUGGGGAUCACGUCAAGUCCGCAUGGCCCUUAUGUCCAGGGCUACACACGUGCUACAAUGGGCGCUAUAGAGGGUAGCAAGCCCGCGAGGGUGAGCCAAUCCCUAAAAAGCGCUCUCAGUUGGGAUCGGAGUCUGCAAUUCGACUCCGUGAACCCGGAAUCGCUAGUAAUCGCGCAUCAGCUCACGGCGCGGUGAAUACGUUC